UACGGGGGGAGCAAGCGUUGUUCGGAUUUACUGGGCGUAAAGGGCGCGUAGGCGGUCAGCACAAGUCAGUUGUGAAAUCUCCGGGCUUAACUCGGAAGGGUCAACUGAUGCUGUGCGACUAGAGUGCAGAAGGGGCAACUGGAAUUCUCGGUGUAGCGGUGAAAUGCGUAGAUAUCGAGAGGAACACCUGCGGCGAAGGCGGGUUGCUGGGCUGACACUGACGCUGAGGCGCGAAAGCCAGGGGAGCGAACGGG
rnacentral:rRNA from 1 species